UAUUAUCAAAAUGAACAGAAAAAUCAUCAUCCAAUCAAAUAUUCGUAAUAUUGUAAUCAAUUUAGACGCCAUAUUGCUUUUCCCCAAACAGGCGCGACUUUUUCUUUUCCUUGCCUGCGCGAUGAAACGAUCGCGUUUGCACGCGACGCGAGUGCAAUUUUUGCAACGAGUUUGCUCAUCGAUUUUCCAUUUGUAACCGUUGCACGAACGGGAUUAAACAACGUGUUAAACCUUUCGAAUUUAUAUCGCCGCGGUACAUAACCGCGGAAAGUAAUCGCUGAUUAACAUUUUUUAACACUCGUGUUAAAUCGAUUGGAAACGAGCGAAUUAUGCGAGGCAGUUAGGCUGGAGAGAAAAUUUAAUCGGCGGACAAUCGUUUGAUUUCGCUGAGCACGUAAUUUCAAUGACCUCGUUACACGCAAAUUGUACAAAGGAGAAGGAAGAAAAGGAAAAGUUUAUUAUUUACGAUGUCGUAAAUCGAGUCUGUAUCUUAUCGUCUUAACGAUGUAUUUCAUUCGUGUAAAUUCUUCGUUCGGAAAGUUUAGUUUCGUUUCUUCGCACGAGUGUCGCUGGUCGAACGUUUAUUUUCCAGCCAACUUCACUCUGAAGUAGAAUCUCUUGAGGCGUUCGGAAAAUAGUGUCAUUUUUUCGCACGAGUGUCGCUAGUCGCUAUGCAGCCAACUUCAUUCUACAUCGUACUGUUAUGUUUUGAGAGUCGAGCAUUUCACGGUUUGUUUGUAAGAAGUGUUUCUUGUGCGUGAUAAGAAAAAGAUGCAAGACUAGGAAAAGAAGUAUUUUCCGUAUAUUUUAUUAAGGAUAAGAAAAAAGUUACAGUGAUUUUGACGAGGACGAAAUAAAGGUUUUUGAUCGAAGCAAAGCGACGAAUAAUAAUUCGAGAAAUUGCCACGAGGUUGGAACGACUUGGUUUCGUUUCGAAGCUCCAAUAAAUCAACUUUUCUUAAGCAUAAUUUCGCGAUCGAAUCGAAUUGGAUGCCAGGUGAGAAUGAGAUAUCUAAAUUCUCAAAUUUUUGCUCGCACAUUUUAAGAAAAUUAUUCGCGUGGCGACGAAUAAUAAUGGCGGGAUAGGUUAUAACACGAGACAGACAACUCGUUUAACCGCGUUCUCUAAUUCAAUGCAUCGCGUUAUCGGGCAAAAAGCGUCGAGCCUUAUUCGUGCAUUAAAGUAAUUAGCAAUUAAAGCAAUUAGCCGUUGAUAGUAAAUGGGAAUGGCGCGCCUUGCUUUACGAUGGAAGGGAAACUUUUCCUCGUGAUUGGAACGAAAAAUCGAAUCGGGGAUGAUGAAAUAAUUUUAGGAGCUGCGAUCCUUCGUUUCGAUCGUGUACAAUAAUUAUCGACUGAAGCCUUAAACGUCUUAAAUAACGACGUGGAAAACUUAAAUAAGUUUUACAGGCCGAGGCGGAGUUGUGAAAUUAGCUCUCUAACCGUAAUUAACUUUGAACAAAAAGAAAAAAAAAAAAAGGGAGUUGAAUGCGAGGCAACAGCGCGAAUUCGAAGGAGAUAAGAAUAAAAUGUUUUAAUUUUCAUUA